GAGUAUUAAAAAAAGGGAUAAGUGAGGAUCGAGAUUUGUUCUCUCCCGAAACCCUUCUCUCCUCCUCUCGUGACGGCGAUUCCUUCUCGGGUGAAAACGAAGCUAGGGCUUCGUCUCUGACGGCCGGUGAGCGCUUCUCUCUGUGGGUUCUUCACAGAUUCGAGGUCUCCUCGUCGAAGAGAGCUCGUGGGCACGAGGAAGGGUUGAAAGCUCAAGUUCUCCGAACCCUAGAGGCUUUCUCCUCCCGUUGUAAGUCGAGGGAUUCCGAUAAAGGAAGACGAGGAGGAGGUGCGGAUGGUGUAUGAUGCCAGGACUAUGGAAGCCCUGGGACUUAAAUUCACAAAACUGCAGCCAUUCAGAAAUCUACAGCUUACUGCAGAUACCAGCUGACAUUUUCAGAAAUCUAGAAUCCAAAUCUUAAGUUUUAGAAUUGUAAUUUCAAGGUAGCUUCAGUUACAACUAUACUGAAUUUAGCUUUGACAAGGAUAGUAUUUAAUACUAUGUUAAUAGGAUUUAAACAUGAAGUUGUUGCUAUCAUAAUGGACAUAUGGACUUAGACAGUUAUCACUGAGUUCUGAAAAUUGAAACUUCAAUAUUAA